rnacentral:misc_RNA from 1 species
UACGGAGGGUCCGAGCGUUAUCCGGAAUCAUUGGGUUUAAAGGGUCCGCAGGCGGGCAAUUAAGUCAGGGGUGAAAUGGUGCGGCUCAACCGUAGCACUGCCCUUGAUACUGGUUGUCUUGAGUUAUGGUGAAGUGGCCGGAAUAUGUAGUGUAGCGGUGAAAUGCAUAGAUAUUACAUAGAACACCGAUCGCGAAGGCAGGUCACUAACCAUCAACUGACGCUGAUGGACGAAAGCUAGGGUCACGAACCGG